GACGAACGCUGGCGGCGUGCUUAACACAUGCAAGUCGAACGCUGAAGCUCAGCUUUUGUUGGGUGGAUGAGUGGCGAACGGGUGAGUAACACGUGAGUAACCUGCCUCCUUCUUUGGGAUAACGCCCGGAAACGGGUGCUAAUACUGGAUAUUCACUGGUCUUCGCAUGGGGGGUGGUGGAAAGGGUUUUUCUGGUGGGGGAUGGGCUCGCGGCCUAUCAGCUUGUUGGUGGGGUGAUGGCCUACCAAGGCUUUGACGGGUAGCCGGCCUGAGAGGGUGACCGGUCACAUUGGGACUGAGAUACGGCCCAGACUCCUACGGGAGGCAGCAGUGGGGAAUAUUGCACAAUGGGCGCAAGCCUGAUGCAGCGACGCCGCGUGAGGGAUGGAGGCCUUCGGGUUGUGAACCUCUUUCGCUCAUGGUCAAGCCGCAACAAUGGUUGUGGUGAGGGUAGUGGGUAAAGAAGCGCCGGCUAACUACGUG
rnacentral:rRNA from 1 species